AGUGAACGCUGGCGGUAGGCCUAACACAUGCAAGUCGAACGGCAGCACAGUAAGAGCUUGCUCUUACGGGUGGCGAGUGGCGGACGGGCGAGGAAUACAUCGGAAUCUACUUUUUCGUGGGGGAUAACGUAGGGAAACUUACGCUAAUACCGCAUACGACCUACGGGUGAAAGCAGGGGAUCUUCGGACCUUGCGCGAUUGAAUGAGCCGAUGUCGGAUUAGCUAGUUGGCGGGGUAAAGGCCCACCAAGGCGACGAUCCGUAGCUGGUCUGAGAGGAUGAUCAGCCACACUGGAACUGAGACACGGUCCAGACUCCUACGGGAGGCAGCAGUGGGGAAUAUUGGACAAUGGGCGCAAGCCUGAUCCAGCCAUACCGCGUGGGUAAAGAAGGCCUUCGGGUUGUAAAGCCCUUUUGUUGGGAAAGAAAAGCAGCAGGUUAAUACCCCGCUGUUCUGACGGUACCCAAAGAAUAAGCACCGGCUAACUUCGUG
rnacentral:rRNA from 1 species